rnacentral:lncRNA from 1 species
GCAGUGCGCUACGCUCGCCGGCCGAGGUCCGAGUGAGCUAGCGAGCGAGCGAGCGAGCGAGCGCCGUCGCUGCGGAUCCCCGGGAGAACCGAACCGUUUAGCAGGGCCCGACGGAAGAGAGGUGACAACCGGCCGCAGGGCUGAAGCCUGGAGGUCAGCGCUGGGGAGGAAGUCGUCCCCCGAGCACCACGAUCCCGGACGCCCGACCCCCUGGCGGAACGGGUAGCGGUUCCGGAUUGGGAUCCGUGGGGCGUAUGCACCCUGCUCGCCAGCGCUUCUGCUCCUUCUGCCUCAGUUUUCCGGACGCAGCGCGGAGCCAGCCCCACGUUUUUUUCCAGUUGGAGCGGAAGCCCACCUGCCCGUCCCCGAGAGCUGUCGCUGCCAUCGCCAUCCUCCCUGCAGGUCUGCAGGGAUUGCCCCAUCCCUGUGGUUUUUUACUUUUUCCAGACAAGUUCUCAAGUAUCCCAGGGUGGCUUCCUGACUCUCUCGAGUAGCCGAGGAUAACCAUAUACUUCUGAUCCCACCUGUACCUCCUGAGUCCUGUUUUAAUGUGGUGCUGAGACUCGAACCCAUGGCUUCGCAGAUGCUAGGCAGACGCUUUUCGAGCUGAGCUCCACCCCCAGCCUCUUUGUCCCUGCUUCUUCUUGCCCUCCAGUGCUUUCCAGCCAAGCACCUGUUGGGGAUACUGCCCACUCCUAAUCUUUCCCCGUAAGAAGCAGUGCUAGUGUUUAAAACAAAACAACAACAAAAUACAGACGCUUACUGAAUUCAAAGU